UAACUGUCUCUUACAGGCAAUCGGUGAAAUUGAUCUCCCUGUGCGAAAGCAGGGAUAACCACAUAAGACGAGAAGACCCUGUGGAACUUCAAAAACAGCAACCACCCCAAUAUACAUCCACACCCACCCCGGGCGCACUUACUCAUAAAGCACUGGUUAGCAUUUUUUCGGUUGGGGCGACCUUGGAGCAAAACAAAACCUCCAAAAAUUGGACCUUCCCUCCAGACUAAGAGCAACCACUCAACGUGCCAACAGCACCCAGACCCAAUACAAUUGACCAAUGGACCAAGCUACCCCAGGGAUAACAGCGCGAUCUCCCCCGAGAGUCCAUAUCGACGGGGAGGUUUACGACCUCGAUGUUGGAUCAGGACAUCCUAGUGGUGCAGGGGCUACUAAGGGUUCGUUUGUUCAACGAUUAACAGUCCUACGUGAUCUGAGUUCAGACCGGAGCAAUCCAGGUCGGUUUCUAUCUAUGACGAACUCUUCCUCGUACGAAAGGAUCGGAAAAGUGAGGCCUAUACCACAAGCAAGCCUUCGCCUUAAGUAAUGAAGCCAACUCAAUUACAAAAGGCUAUCACACCCCAUCACGUCCUAGAAAAGG
rnacentral:rRNA from 1 species